GAAAUUAUUUUGACGUUGAUCAUGCUGAUUUUUGUCAGGCAAAAUGUCUCCUUCAAGACCAUCAAUAGGAUUCAUGUAAAUGUGGCUGUUCAUCAGAGGCUGACUGGACCUAUCAAGAUCUCAUCAAGGGAUGUUUGGAAUCCAAUUGCACCAUGGAAUUCAUGGAAUUCAGUUUUGAACAUCACCGCUUCAAAUUAUAACGAACACCCAAGAUGACGACAAGCAUUGGUAUGAAAGAUGCGCCAGCCUGAUUGAAGAGAGCCUGUGAGAUGCUGCCUUGUCAUGACUUCAAAUACGUCAUCUUCUCAGCGUCUCAAGCUGAUUCAGUUCAACUUUGUGAUUCAUUCCAUACUAAGAUGUUAAGGUACGUCUCACGUAGUGAGUUUUAAAUUGUUGUAAAAAGAUCUGUUUACAAAUGGACUCUCAAAAAACCACUCAGACAUCAGUCUUUACUGUUUACAACUUGACAAAGUUUAUAUUUUAUUCAAAAGCUAUGAAUUUAAAUCAAAGUAAAGUGUACUGCGUAAACAGAUCUUUGCCAUGUUGAGCCCUAUGUGGCUGUUUAUGUCAUGAAGUAAAAACAUUGCUCGAUAUAGUCGUGUGCAUUUUAUAACUCCUGUGCAUCAGGCCUGAUACUUUGCGGAGACAAAUUACGCUGCAAUUGCCUCCAUGCACUCAGUCUUUGUCAUUGCCUUGGUGCCCAAAAUGGUCCUCUUACUCUUGCGUUUAACUGAGAAACAGCUGCCUUCCCCUUACAAGAAUGAAGCAUCAGGCCUGAAGAAUGGGUAAUGACAUGCAGAAAUCAAAGAGCACUGAAUACAAAGCAAUGAAGUAAAAAAGUCAUGCAAUCUUGUUGUACGUAUGCAUGGUUAAUGUAAAGUGAACAUAAUUUUUACACAGGUCAGUUAGAGUUAAAACAUGUUUGAAAUGCUUAGUUUGAUUUUUAUUAUGUGGUAAAUGUGGAUUUGUAUUACACGUGAUGAUAUUUAACUGUAAAACAUUGUACAAAUUGAGCAGGGCCUUUAGUUUUAAACAGAAUGCAAAUAUAUGGAAACUUAGAGUGAACAUCUGCAUGUCCAUAAAGUUUUAUGCUUAGUACUUAAAGUUCCGUAUUGUAUCUUUCCACCAUUUUAUCUUGAAAAGUAGAUUCUGCAAAUACAUGAGAACCCUAAAAUACAGAGUUAUCAAUUUCUUUUUAGAUUUUUUUGAUGUGUUUAACUUGGAAAUUUGUCAAUGCAGAUGGUCGUUCUAAGCUUCCAUACCAUUUUUAGCAACAGUUUGGAAGUCUGGCUUCCUGUCUCUUAGUGCUUUUACAACACUAUUCUUACUGUAGGUACCAGACUAAUUUCUUCACACACUUGUUAAAUAUAGCUUAUGUUAUCAAGGUUAUUGUGUAUAAAAAGACCCUUUUUAAACAAGCUAAUUAAAUAAGACAGCUUCAUAAUUCACAGUAAAGCGAAGCAUACUAUCUGUUACAAUAUAAAAUAAGAAGUUUGAAGGUUAGAAGUCACGAACGUGUGUUCUGUGCAUUUAAAUUGAUGUAAAUAAGAGUUACAGCAUGUACAAUUUACGCUAAGUGCCGUUUUUAGAGUUAUAUAAGCAAAUAUUUAUUGAAAAAACCACUUUCCUGUGGAUAUUUUUGUCACCAGAAUACGUAUUACAUGUAGAAUGUUAAUAGGACACUCUGUAGUGUAUCCUGUACUGUUUUAAGGGUGUUUUGAAGGGUUUUGACUCUCCAGUUUUGUAAUUUUCAGUGAUUUUUAGAGUUUUUUAGGCAAAAAAAAAAUAUUCAAAUAAAAAUUAACGAGCAUGCGUUUCAGGCGAUUCUAAGAAAAUGAAUUAC